UACGGAGGGGGUUAGCGUUGUUCGGAAUGACUGGGCGUAAAGCGCGCGUAGGCGGAUCAUCAAGUCGGGGGUGAAAUCCCGGGGCUCAACCGCGGAAUGGCCUUCGAGACUGGUGGUCUUGAGUUCGAGAGAGGUGAGUGGAAUUCCGAGUGUAGAGGUGAAAUGCGUAGAUAUUCGGAGGAACACCAGUGGCGAAGGCGGCUCACUGGCUCGACACUGACGUUGAGGCGCGAAAGCGUGGGGAGCAAACAGG
rnacentral:rRNA from 1 species